AGCGAGACUGCCGGUAAUAAACCGGAGGAAGGUGGGGAUGACGUCAAAUCAUCAUGCCCCUUAUGACCUGGGCUACACACGUGCUACAAUGGUUGGUACAACGAGUUGCGAGUCGGUGACGGCGAGCUAAUCUCUUAAAGCCAAUCUCAGUUCGGAUUGUAGGCUGCAACUCGCCUACAUGAAGUCGGAAUCGCUAGUAAUCGCCGGAUCAGCACGCCGCGGUGAAUACGGUUCCCGGGCCUU
rnacentral:rRNA from 1 species